GUGGAUCCACUAAGAUCCAUAUUUAGUUUGAAUGUAUUGAGUUAAUUUCUAAUUUCAUAGCAUUCAACCAUUUCUUGAAGUCAAUGUCAGACAUCGCCUCGUCAUAGGUUUUAGGAUCAUUUCUAUGAUCCUUAUCUCCUACGAGGAACAUUUUUUGUAUAUCUUCUAUAAGCAUACCCAAGUAUCUAUUAGAAGAAUGGG
rnacentral:lncRNA from 1 species